rnacentral:rRNA from 1 species
CGCAUGGUAGGAGAGCGUUCCGUAAGCCUGCGAAGGUGCCUUGUAAAGGGUGCUGGAGGUAUCGGAAGUGCGAAUGCUGACAUGAGUAGCGAUAAAGGGGGUGAAAGGCCCCCUCGCCGUAAGCCCAAGGUUUCCUACGCAACGUUCAUCGGCGUAGGGUGAGUCGGCCCCUAAGGCGAGGCAGAAAUGCGUAGCUGAUGGGAAGCAGGUCAAUAUUCCUGCACCGUCGUUAGAUGCGAUGGGGGGACGGAUCGCGGAAGGUUGUCCGGGUGUUGGAAGUCCCGGUCGCUGCAUUGGAGAAGGCGCUUAGGCAAAUCCGGGCGCAGGAUUCAAGGGUGUGGCGCGAGCGCUCUAGGGCGCGAAGCAAUUGGAAGUGGUUCCAAGAAAAGCCUCUAAGCUUCAGUCUAACGAUGACCGUACCGCAAACCGACACAGGUGGGCGAGAUGAGUAUUCUAAGGCGCUUGAGAGAACUCGGGAGAAGGAACUCGGCAAAUUGGUACCGUAACUUCGGGAUAAGGUACGCCCUUGUAGCUUGACCAGCCUGCGCUGGAAGGGUGAAGGGGUUGCAAUAAACUGGUGGCUGCGACUGUUUAAUAAAAACACAGCACUCUGCAAACACGAAAGUGGACGUAUAGGGUGUGACGCCUGCCCGGUGCCGGAAGAUUAAAUGAUGGGGUGCAAGCUCUUGAUUGAAGUCCCGGUAAACGGCGGCCGUAACUAUAACGGUCCUAAGGUAGCGAAAUUCCUUGUCGGGUAAGUUCCGACCUGCACGAAUGGCGUAACGAUGGCCACACUGUCUCCUCCCGAGACUCAGCGAAGUUGAAGUGUUUGUGAUGAUGCAAUCUACCCGCGGCUAGACGGAAAGACCCCAUGAACCUUUACUGUAGCUUUGCAUUGGACUUUGAACCGAUCUGUGUAGGAUAGGUGGGAGGCUAUGAAACCGGAACGCUAGUUUCGGUGGAGCCGUCCUUGAAAUACCACCCUGGUUUGUUUGAGGUUCUAACCUUGGCCCGUGAUCCGGGUCGGGGACAGUGCAUGGUAGGCAGUUUGACUGGGGCGGUCUCCUCCCAAAGCGUAACGGAGGAGUACGAAGGUACGCUAGGUACGGUCGGAAAUCGUGCUGAUAGUGCAAUGGCAUAAGCGUGCUUAACUGCGAGACCGACAAGUCGAGCAGGUGCGAAAGCAGGUCAUAGUGAUCCGGUGGUUCUGUAUGGAAGGGCCAUCGCUCAACGGAUAAAAGGUACUCUGGGGAUAACAGGCUGAUACCGCCCAAGAGUUCAUAUCGACGGCGGUGUUUGGCACCUCGAUGUCGGCUCAUCUCAUCCUGGGGCUGUAGCCGGUCCCAAGGGUAUGGCUGUUCGCCAUUUAAAGAGGUACGUGAGCUGGGUUUAAAACGUCGUGAGACAGUUUGGUCCCUAUCUGCCGUGGGCGUUGGAUAUUUGAAGGGGGCUGCUCCUAGUACGAGAGGACCGGAGUGGACGAACCUCUGGUGUACCGGUUGUGACGCCAGUCGCAUCGCCGGGUAGCUAUGUUCGGAAGAGAUAACCGCUGAAAGCAUCUAAGCGGGAAACUCGCCUUAAGAUGAGAUAUCCCUGGAGGCUUGACCUCCUUGAAGGGUCGUUCGAGACCAGGACGUUGAUAGGUCAGGUGUGUAAGCGCAGUAAUGCGUUCAGCUAACUGAUACUAAUUGCCCGUAAGGCUUGAUCCUAUAACA